rnacentral:rRNA from 1 species
UGGGGAAUAUUGCACAAUGGGCGCAAGCCUGAUGCAGCCAUGCCGCGUGUAUGAAGAAGGCCUUCGGGUUGUAAAGUACUUUCAGCGGGGAGGAAGGCGAUAAGGUUAAUAACCUUGUCGAUUGACGUUACACGCAGAAGAAGCACCGGCUAACUCCGUGCCAGCAGCCGCGGUAAUACGGAGGGUGCAAGCGUUAAUCGGAAUUACUGGGCGUAAAGCGCACGCAGGCGGUCUGUCAAGUCGGAUGUGAAAUCCCCGGGCUCAACCUGGGAACUGCAUUCGAAACUGGCAGGCUAGAGUCUUGUAGAGGGGGGUAGAAUUCCAGGUGUAGCGGUGAAAUGCGUAGAGAUCUGGAGGAAUACCGGUGGCGAAGGCGGCCCCCUGGACAAAGACUGACGCUCAGGUGCGAAAGCGUGGGGAGCAAACA